GCCGGCGUGGCCCAAUGGUCAAGGCGCACGCUUCCUAAGCGUGAGAUUGCGGGUUCGAGUCCCGCCGUUGGUA
rnacentral:tRNA from 1 species